rnacentral:rRNA from 1 species
UACGAAGGGGGCUAGCGUUGCUCGGAAUCACUGGGCGUAAAGGGUGCGUAGGCGGGUUUUUAAGUCAGAGGUGAAAUCCUGGAGCUCAACUCCAGAACUGCCUUUGAUACUGAAAAUCUUGAGUAUGGGAGAGGUGAGUGGAACUCCGAGUGUAGAGGUGAAAUUCGUAGAUAUUCGCAAGAACACCAGUGGCGAAGGCGGCUCACUGGCCCGAUACUGACGCUGAGGCACGAAAGCGUGGGGAGCAAACAGG